AUUGUUCUUUUCGAUCUGUAAUUCUUUUGUCAAGGUUACAUAUGGUCAGCAUACUGAUAUUCUGAUUGCCACUGUGACUCUACAACUACAACCCUACUAGCUUGGUAGAUGCCUCCUUUUCUUAUUCUCAAAAGCAGAUCCUUUUGAACCACUUUUUUAUGUUGUUAAUCUUCUGAAUAUCCAAUAAUCAAGUGGAACCACUUUAACUUUGAAAUAAUUCUGUUGUUAUUUGAUGUAGUUAAUAUUUUUAUUUGGUUGAAAGCUUGGUUGAAAGCUGAGAUCUUGGUCUUCUCAUUAGUUUGAAAGCAUUUUGGCUAUAGGCUUAAUCUAAAGUAACCCGUGGAGUCUUGGAAUUAAUAAUUCUUUUCUCAAGAGGCAGUGUAAGUUGGAGUAUUACUAGGGUCUGCUGUGGCUGUAAUUGAAUGAGUGAAAGUGAGAAAAAUAAGAGUCAGUUUAAUCACGAUAUGGUAUUUCCCAAGGCCAGAAGCCCCAUAAUAUCUAUUAUUUCUUCCUUAUAAAUUUACUACUCAAGCUUCUAGGGCUCUACAUACAUUAUCACUAAUCUUUUGUGUUGUACUUUCAAAAUCAAUGUUGCUCAGAUCUUCUAGAUUACUGAUGAUAUUUAACUUGGAUUGGAAGGACAGGUUGUCCCUUUCUACAUGAAAUAUAUGUGGAAGGAUGGGUUCCUACUAUAAGGAGCAUAGAAUUCUUCCCCACUUCCAGAACUCAGCUUGCUGUAUAUCUAUUCAAUAUAACUUUGCAAUGAGGCUUGGUGGCUUUGGGAUAAGGAUGGUUUUAUGUUAUCUACUUUCAACUCCAUCAGCUUUUUGUUUGAAGCUAGUACGUAUCUAGUCCUCACACUACUUUCAACCCCAGCCAUUUUUCUUUCCCUUAUUGUGCCUUGUAUCAGCCUCUUCAAGAACUAGAGAAGAUGACCAAUAUUAUUCUUCAAGCUCUAAAAAUUACUGGACAAAGAGGCAUUAUCAACAAAGGCUGGGGUUGGUAAUUCAGUACAAUCAAAUGAUUCUGUGUACUUAGUGGACAAUUGCCCCCAUGAUGACUCUUCCUCGGAUGCUCUGUUGUGGUCAGGAACGUUACCAUCGCCUGGCUCCCAUGUAUUACCGCGGUGCAACUGCAGCUGUUGGUCUAUGAUAUCACAAGCAUGGAGUCAUUUGUUUUUAGCGAGCUAAGAAGUGGGUUUUUGAAUUGCAAAGACAAGCAAAUCCAACUUUAAUAAUGUUCUUGAUUGGAAACAAGGCCGAGUUGGAAGAGAAGAGAAAAGUAGGGACUGAG